rnacentral:lncRNA from 1 species
UCAAAUCACCUCAUUCUCACUCUUACAAAUUCACACAUGCAUGCAUUCAUCUGUACACACACAUGCAUUUAUUCAUUGAUUUACACAUGCAUGCAUUCAUCUGUACACACCCCUGCAUGCUAAAGGAAUCCAAUACCACCAAACAAACAAACAAAGCGGGUAACACUGCAAGCACUUCGAGAGAGGCGCCAUGAAAACACCCACCUUGCACAGCAUUUCGUG